UACAGAGACUGCAAGCGUUAUCCGGAUUUACUGGGUUUAAAGGGUGCGCAGGCGGAUAUGUAAGUCAGUGGUGAAAUCUCUAGGCUUAACCUGGAAAUUGCCGUUGAUACUAUAUAUCUUGAAUGUUGUGGAGGUAAGCAGAAUAUGUCAUGUAGCGGUGAAAUGCUUAGAUAUGACAUAGAAUACCUAUUGCGAAGGCAGCUUACUACGCAGAUAUUGACGCUCAUGCACGAAAGCGUGGGGAUCAAACAGG
rnacentral:rRNA from 1 species